CUGGGGUUGGAUGGAUUGGACGGAAGAGAUCUGAGGACACACUCAAUGUCGUAGAUGGAUCAUUUUUCCGCGGGAGUAGACAAUUCAUUUUACACAUGUGGCAUGCUUAUGCAGAACUUUCGCCCGGAUUUGGUAAGGUUUCAGUAGGAUGAUGGACGCCGGCGAGAUUUUCCAUUUCGCCUUCCCGUCCUAUGACCAGAUGAAUUGCGGCAUCAAGAUGUCAGCCAAGACAACGGCGUCAUUGUUAUAGUUUGUGUGGUUCUCGACCAAACGCGUUGGAUUGGCGAGGAUAUUGUGCAGGGGGAUGAGGGUAAUGAAGGAGAUAAUACAGAACGAUAGUCACAAGCUGGUAGGAUAAGGGCAUCACCUGGGACUGGGAGGUUGGUGACGUUGAACAAUAAGUUGAGCCCAUUACAAAAGUCUCAC